AUACUCCCGAGAGACCGAUAGUGGACUAGUACCGUGAGGGAAAGGUGAAAAGCACCCCGAACAGGGGGGUGAAAGAGAACCUGAAACCUUGUGCUUACAAGCGGUCGGAGCCCUGUAAGGGGUGACGGCGUGCCUUUUGCAUAAUGAGCCUACGAGUUGCGCUUCACUGGCGAGGUUAAUUCCUUUAGGGGAGGAGCCGAAGCGAAAGCGAGUCCGAAUAGGGCGGAAGUCAGUGGAGGCAGACGCGAAACCUAGUGAUCUACCCUUGGCCAGGGUGAAGUUCCGGUAACACGGGAUGGAGGCCCGAACUGGUGUGCGUUGAAAAGCGCUCGGAUGAGCUGAGGGUAGGGGUGAAAGGCU
rnacentral:rRNA from 1 species